rnacentral:tRNA from 1 species
GGGCUGGGGCUGAGAGGCAGAGCGCUCGCCUGGCAUGCGUGAGGCACUGGGUUCAAUCCUCAGCACCACA